rnacentral:rRNA from 1 species
CGAAGGGGGCAAGCGUUGUUCGGAAUUACUGGGCGUAAAGGGCGCGUAGGCGGCUUAUCAAGUCAGGCGUGAAAUUCCCGGGCUCAACCUGGGGGCUGCGCUUGAUACUGAUUGGCUUGAAUGCGGGAGAGGAUAGCGGAAUUCCCAGUGUAGAGGUGAAAUUCGUAGAUAUUGGGAAGAACACCGGUGGCGAAGGCGGCUAUCUGGCCCGUAAUUGACGCUGAGGCGCGAAAGCGUGGGGAGCAAACAGGAUUGGAUACCCUGGUAGUCCACGCCGUAGACGAUGAAUGCUAGACGUUGGCGAGCAUGCUCGUCAGUGUCGGAGCUAACGCAUUAAGCAUUCCGCCUGGGGAGUACGGUCGCAAGAUUA